rnacentral:rRNA from 1 species
CGAACGAGGAAUUUAAAUGAGACUUCGGUGGAUUUUAAAUUCUUAGUGGCGGACGGGUGAGUAACGCGUGGGCAACCUGCCCUGUACAGGGGGACAACAGCUGGAAACGGCUGCUAAUACCGCAUAAGCGCACAGCAUCGCAUGAUGCCGUGUGAAAAACUCCGGUGGUACAGGAUGGGCCCGCGUUGGAUUAGGUAGUUGGUGAGGUAACGGCCCACCAAGCCGACGAUCCAUAGCCGACCUGAGAGGGUGACCGGCCACAUUGGGACUGAGACACGGCCCAAACUCCUACGGGAGGCAGCAGUGGGGAAUAUUGCACAAUGGGGGAAACCCUGAUGCAGCGACGCCGCGUGAGCGAAGAAGUAUUUCGGUAUGUAAAGCUCUAUCAGCAGGGAAGAAAAUGACGGUACCUGACUAAGAAGCCCCGGCUAACUACGUGCCAGCAGCCGCAGUAAUACGUAGGGGGCAAGCGUUAUCCGGAUUUACUGGGUGUAAAGGGAGCGUAGACGGCUUUGCAAGUCUGAUGUGAAAGGCGGGGGCUCAACCCCUGGACUGCAUUGGAAACUGUGGGGCUUGAGUGCCGGAGAGGUAAGCGGAAUUCCUAGUGUAGCGGUGAAAUGCGUAGAUAUUGAGGAGGAACACCAGUGGCGAAGGCGGCUUACUGGACGGUAACUGACGU